rnacentral:rRNA from 1 species
GACGUAGGGCGCGAGCGUUGUCCGGAUUUAUUGGGCGUAAAGAGCUCGUAGGCGGUUUGUCGCGUCUGCCGUGAAAGUCCGGGGCUCAACUCCGGAUCUGCGGUGGGUACGGGCAGACUAGAGGUAUGCAGGGGAGAAUGGAAUUCCUGGUGUAGCGGUGAAAUGCGCAGAUAUCAGGAGGAACACCCGUGGCGAAAGCGGCUCUCUGGAACGGUACUGACGCUGAGACGCGAAAGCGUGGGGAGCGAACAGG